rnacentral:rRNA from 1 species
CCUACGGGGUGCAGCCGGCGCGAAAACUUUACAAUGCUGGCAACAGCGAUAAGGGAACCUCGAGUGCCAGGAUACAAAUCUGGCUGUCGUGAUGCCUAAAAAGCAUUGCAUAGCAAGGGCCGGGCAAGACCGGUGCCAGCCGCCGCGGUAA